rnacentral:rRNA from 1 species
GACGGGGGCCCGCACAAGCGGUGGAGCAUGUGGUUUAAUUCGACGCAACGCGAAGAACCUUACCUGGGCUUGACAUCCCGAUCGCACCUUAUGGAAACAUAGGGGUCAGUUCGGCUGGAUCGGUGACAGGUGCUGCAUGGCUGUCGUCAGCUCGUGUCGUGAGAUGUUCGGUUAAGUCCGCUAACGAGCGCAACCCUCGCUGUAUGUUACAUGUGUCAUACAGGACCGCCGGUAUCAAGCCGGAGGAAGGUGGGGAUGACGUCAAGUCCGCAUGGCCUUUAUGUCCGGGGCUACACACACGCUACAAUGGUCGGUACAAUGGGUUGCUAAGCCGCGAGGUGGAGCCAAUCCCCCAAAGCCGGCCUCAGUUCAGAUUGCAGGCUGCAACUCGCCUGCAUGAAGCUGGAGUUGCUAGUAAACGCGCGUCAGCUAUAGUGCGUUGAAUACGUUCUCGGGCCUU